rnacentral:rRNA from 1 species
UUGAACGCUGGCGGCAUGCCUUACACAUGCAAGUCGAACGGUAACAGGUCUUCGGAUGCUGACGAGUGGCGAACGGGUGAGUAAUACAUCGGAACGUGCCCGAUCGUGGGGGAUAACGAGGCGAAAGCUUUGCUAAUACCGCAUACGAUCUACGGAUGAAAGCGGGGGAUCUUCGGACCUCGCGCGGACGGAGCGGCCGAUGGCAGAUUAGGUAGUUGGUGGGAUAAAAGCUUACCAAGCCGACGAUCUGUAGCUGGUCUGAGAGGAUGAUCAGCCACACUGGGACUGAGACACGGCCCAGACUCCUACGGGAGGCAGCAGUGGGGAAUUUUGGACAAUGGGCGAAAGCCUGAUCCAGCCAUGCCGCGUGCAGGAUGAAGGCCUUCGGGUUGUAAACUGCUUUUGUACGGAACGAAAAGCCUCUUUCUAAUAAAGAGGGGUCAUGACGGUACCGUAAGAAUAAGCACCGGCUAACUACGUGC